GAUGAACGCUGGCGGCGUGCCUAAUACAUGCAAGUCGAGCGAACGGACGAGAAGCUUGCUUCUCUGAUGUUAGCGGCGGACGGGUGAGUAACACGUGGAUAACCUACCUAUAAGACUGGGAUAACUUCGGGAAACCGGAGCUAAUACCGGAUAAUAUUUUGAACCGCAUGGUUCAAAAGUAUAAGACGGUCUUGCUGUCACUUAUAGAUGGAUCCGCGCUGCAUUAGCUAGUUGGUAAGGUAACGGCUUACCAAGGCAACGAUGCAUAGCCGACCUGAGAGGGUGAUCGGCCACACUGGAACUGAGACACGGUCCAGACUCCUACGGGAGGCAGCAGUAGGGAAUCUUCCGCAAUGGGCGAAAGCCUGACGGAGCAACGCCGCGUGAGUGAUGAAGGUCUUCGGAUCGUAAAACUCUGUUAUUAGGGAAGAAUAUAUGUGUAAGUAACUGUGCACAUCUUGACGGUACCUAAUCAGAAAGCCACGGCUAACUACGUGCCAGCAGCCGCGGUAAUACGUAGGUGGCAAGCGUUAUCCGGAAUUAUUGGGCGUAAAGCGCGCGUAGGCGGUUUUUUAAGUCUGAUGUGAAAGCCCACGGCUCAACCGUGGAGGGUCAUUGGAAACUGGAAAACUUGAGUGCAGAAGAGGAAAGUGGAGUUCCAUGUGUAGCGGUGAAAUGCGCAGAGAUAUGGAGGAACACCAGUGGCGAAGGCGACUUUCUGGUCUGUAACUGACGCUGAUGUGCGAAAGCGUGGGGAUCAAACAGGAUUAGAUACCCUGGUAGUCCACGCCGUAAACGAUGAGUGCUAAGUGUUAGGGGGUUUCCGCCCCUUAGUGCUGCAGCUAACGCAUUAAGCACUCCGCCUGGGGAGUACGACCGCAAGGUUGAAACUCAAAGGAAUUGACGGGGACCCGCACAAGCGGUGGAGCAUGUGGUUUAAUUCGAAGCAACGCGAAGAACCUUACCAAAUCUUGACAUCCUUUGACAACUCUAGAGAUAGAGCCUUCCCCUUCGGGGGACAAAGUGACAGGUGGUGCAUGGUUGUCGUCAGCUCGUGUCGUGAGAUGUUGGGUUAAGUCCCGCAACGAGCGCAACCCUUAAGCUUAGUUGCCAUCAUUAAGUUGGGCACUCUAAGUUGACUGCCGGUGACAAACCGGAGGAAGGUGGGGAUGACGUCAAAUCAUCAUGCCCCUUAUGAUUUGGGCUACACACGUGCUACAAUGGACAAUACAAAGGGCAGCGAAACCGCGAGGUCAAGCAAAUCCCAUAAAGUUGUUCUCAGUUCGGAUUGUAGUCUGCAACUCGACUACAUGAAGCUGGAAUCGCUAGUAAUCGUAGAUCAGCAUGCUACGGUGAAUACGUUCCCGGGUCU
rnacentral:rRNA from 1 species